rnacentral:rRNA from 1 species
CUAAUUCGGUACGUACAGAUUCAUGCUUGAAAAUGUGUCACUUUGGGCGCUUACCGAGUAAUCUAGUCAAUACCAAGGAAUCUAGCAGGUUAGGAUGAACCUAUUGACACCAUUAAGAUCUCGAUUAUGUACGAUGUUUCGAGGCUGGGCGCGCGGCCGGGCGUUCCCAGCGCGCAGAAACGCCCCUUCUCGCGAAAAUAAUCCAGUUUUGGUUAGCCGCGCAGAUUUGGCGCGCAGCGGUUUGGAGCCACUGCUUAGACCUAUUGAACUCGCCUUGCGUGCCGGAGGCGCGGCCGCAGCAUAGAAAGUUUACAGACGGGAUAGUUUAAAGCAUCCGGCCACUGUACGGGCGGAUCAAAGAUUGCCCAUUGCCCCUUAGUCCCAAGCUAAGGCCUCUCCCUCGUACUCUUUGCCGAUGGUGUAGGUUCCUUCCGUCGUCCGCGCGUUUAAUGGGUGAAGAUCGUGUCUCUCCAUCACUGCUUUUUAUUGUUAUGCCCUGAGAUAGCUCCGGGGCAUUAACCUUACUCAUGUGAAAUUUAGGAAAUUGCUCCUAGAUAACCUCCCGUUCAGACCACGGUCGUCGGCGCCAUUAAGGUCGAGGUUAUCGCAUAUAAUUUCGACAACGUCAAUUUUUCGAGCAUCAACCUAGAGCCUGGGCCCGGACGCCAGGCUAGUCAAGCCAAGUGACGAGCGAGGGCCCAGAUGGGCGGCCGACAGGGGGCCACGAGAAUCGACUCACGGAGCCCGCUGGCCGAUCAAAUGAAACUUUUUUAAUCUCACAAGUUUCGUCCGGUGCGUCCGGACUUAUUACCACGUACCUUAUUACCUUAUCCUGGAGCCAAGAUAAAACAACCAAAAGCCUUGAGCUCCAUUACUAAUUCUCCCUGCCUGCCCCCGUAAGCAUAAUGCCACAAUCUCCACUUUAAGAUCCUAGCGGCAUUCUGCUUGGCGACGCUUUCGCAAACGGUUCUUGCAAAAGUAAUCAGCUCUUGCUUUCAGUCUCCAAGCUUCUGCUAGUCUAUGGCAGGAUCAAGACUGGUAUUUGCUACGGCUGAUCGCUAGGCGGCCGCAACGAAGUUACUGAGCCGCCCGUCGAAGGCCCUUUGGUUUCAGAAACCCAAGGCCCCCUUCAUACCAACGUUUCGACUUUGAAUUUCCUUAACUGCCUUCCCGUGGUGGUCCUCACCUCGGACGCCGAAUUAAACUGAGUUGUGCCCUUUUGAGUGGGCCGGGCCUGUGACCUUUCCUAACUGUCUAACUCUCGAGAAAGAACUAAGCCACCCACCACCACGUACCGGC